CGUUGAUACGGUGUUCUUCGUCUCUUGGCUAGCAUUUCCUCACUUCCCCAGCUUUCCUUAGAGUGUGGCAGAAUUUGAGCAUGCGGCAACGAUGCAGCAGUUUCAGAGCUUCAGUUGGCAACAUGCGUCGUCGUCGCCUUGCCCAGUAAACUCGAAAGGCUCGUUGCAACCGAAAAGCCCAACUAGGGCCCGUUUCGAUCCAACCAGAUCGUGCGUGCACUCGCACGAGCCGCACCACCAGCAGCCCGGCGCCUCCGCCAUCCAGAUUCUAGACCCAUCAUCUUCUCCGCUCCGCCAUCCAAAUUCCAGAACCAUCAUCUCCUCCGCUCCGCCGCCAUCCGCUGCAGCAGUGCAGCACCCUCACCCGCCUCCGCGGCUCGCCGCACGAUGGAUCGCUAUGAGGAGCACGACGGGAACACCUUCUGGGGUGCCAGCACGCAGCCCACCAAUCCCUCCGCCAUGGAUUUCUUCGGCGCGCCGGCUACCAUUCCCGGCUUCACCGCGGCGGCUUCCUCCCCCGGCAGCCGUGGCGUCCCUCUUCAACGCGGAUCCGCCAGAGUGGAGGUGCUGGACCUCAACUCCCUACCCUCCGACCUCCAUCUGGGGAUGCCCUACGGCGAGCGGUUCCGUUCUGCGUCGGCCGGAGCGGUUGGGGAGGUAGACGUCGCCGGUGGUCCCCGAGGCGCCGUUCCUUCUCGCGCUGCCAGCGCAGCCCGUGCCGCUACGCCGAUCCGCGCCGGGUCGGGCGGCGCUCCUGCUGGCACGGCGGCGAGGCUGCACCGCGCUCUUCGACCAGCCAGAGUGGCAGGAGGACCUCCCGUUGGUGGGCGUGGUGGCGCUGGUGGAAGCGCAGGCGUUGCGGCUGGUGGCCCAUACGACGAUGAUGGUGCUCUUACUCAGGAAUCCCAGGGCCAUCCUGAGUGGAAAAAACUGCAGUCCGGUUGGCCUAUUUACCUUGACGAGUUGAACCGCAUGUUCAUGGGUGUUGCCGUUGAUGGGUCGAGUUCAUAUGUGCCUGGAGAUGAGGAUCCUGUGGACGUCACCCCAAAUGAUGAAGAGGAAGAUUCAGAGGACGAUCAUGGCCUCCAGACCCCGCAGAGCACAGGAAGCAAGAGGACACGCGACAGCUCGCAAAGCCUACGCAGUACUGCUACGAGCCCCAACAAGUAGACGAAGAGCCCCGCAGUCCGAGCCAUGGUGUCCCAAAUGCAGCUGCACAACGAGAUACAAACCCAAAGGAAUGCAGCCAUGGAAGGUUUCAUGGCGAAGAGGCUGCAGGUGAAGCAGGCCGAGGAAGCAAAGAUGGAGAAACAGUUUGACACCAUAAUGGAAGCGGCAAGGGACUGUGGUGUCACCGAGGACAAUGCGCAGCUGUGGAUUGGUGUGCUCAAGAUUGCUCAGGACAAGGGUGCAUCUUACUUUUUCCUGCGCUCCCUUCCGCAUGGAAGGAAGGCUCUUAUUGAGCACUACGCUAGGGAAGGGGUUCAUUGCUCAGAAGAGGGAAACGAAGCUGCAGAUUCAGAUGAGGAGUUUGAAAACUUCAUGAUAACACAAUUCAUGGAUGAUUCUGCAGACAUUGGUUUCAUUUACGGUGUUUGGUGCUGCAGUCAAAUACUAUCUGGUGGACUCGGGGUACCCGAACCGACCGGGUUACUUGGCUCCUUACAAGGGUAGCAAGUACCAUCUCCAAGAGUUUCAAAACGCCAACGAACCUCAGGGUAAAGAGGAGAUGUUCAACUACGCACAUUCGUCCCUUAGAAAUGUCGUAGAAAGAUCAUUUGGAGUUUUAAAGCACAAGUGGCGCAUGCUCACCAAAAUACCCUGUUAUCCAGUACAAACACAAACACAUAUUAUUGUUGCGUGCAUGGCUCUGCAUAAUUUCAUCAGGCAGAGUGGGUUUAGGGAUAAAGACUUUAGACGCUGUGAUAGUGAUGAUAACUAUGUGCCUGAUGAAGCCUAUGAAGAUCAGCCAGAAUGCGAGCCUACCCCCAGUUAUUUGGAAUGUCCACAUAUGAAUGGCUUUCGUGAUACAAUUGCGCUCCAUAUGUUGCAUCGAGGUUCAGCUGUGACGGGACUUUUACUUUUUAUUACUUUUUAUUGUAAUUUGUGAGGACGUGUACUGCUGCGGCUUUUUAAUUUCGAGUUGUGGUUGUCUUGAAAAACUGUUGUUGUACUGUUAUGCAUAUAUAUGUUUUGUGUCAA